UGGGAUUACAGGCGUGAGCCACCACGCCCAGCCUCUUUUUUUUCUAUUUGAGAUGAAGUCUCGCUCUGUCACCCAGGCUGGAGUGCAAUGGCGCAAUCUCUGCUCACUGCAGUCUCCGCCUCCCGGGUUCAAGUGAUUCCCCUGCCUCAGCCUCCCAAGUAGCUGGGACUAGGUGCACGACACCACGCCUGGCUAAUUUUUUGUAUUUUAGUAGAGACGAGGUUUCACCAUGUUGGCCAGGAUGGUCACGAACUCCUGACCUCAGGUGAUCCAUCUGUCUCGGCCUCCCAAAGUGCUGGGAUUACAGGCGUGACCCACUGUGCCUGUCCUGUUUUUCUUUCAUUUUCUUUAUUUGUUUAUUUCAUGCGCGUCCGUGUGAAGAGACCACCAAACAGGCUUUGUGUGAGCAACAUGGCUGUUUAUUUCACCUGGGUGCAGGCGGGCUGAGUCAGAAAAGAGAGUCAGCGAAGGGAGAUAGGGAUGGGGCCAUUUUAUAGGAUUUGGGAAGGUAAUGGAAAAUUACUGUCAAAGGGGGUUGUGCUCUGGUGGGCAGGGGCGAAGGGGUCACAAAGUGCUCAGUGGGGGAGCUUCUGAGCCAGGAGAAGGAAAUUCACAGGGUUAAUCACUCAGUUAAGGUGGGGCAGGAACAAAUCACAAUGGUGGAAUGUCAUCAGUUAAUGCGGGGCAGGGCCUUUUCACUUUUGUGAUUCUUCAGUUACUUCAGGCCAUCUGGGUGUAUACGUGCAAGUCACAGGAGAUGCGAUGGCUUGGCUUGGGCUCAGAGGCCUGACAUUCCUGCCUUAUGUUAAUAAGAAAAAUAAAAUAGUGUCGAAGUGUUGGGGUGGCGAAAAUUUUUGGGGGGUGGUAUGAAGAGAGAAUGGGCGAUGUUUCUCAGGGCUGCUUCAAGCGGGAUUAGGGGCGGCGUGGGAACCUAGAGUGGGAGAGAUUAAGCUGAAGGGAGAUCUUGUGGAAAGGGGUGAUAUUGUGGGGAUGUUAGAAGAAACAUUUGUCGUAUAGAAUGAUUGGUGAUCGCCUGGAUACGGUUUUGUAUGAAUUGAAAAACUAAAUGGAAUAAGAAAAGGAGCAAAACAGGUAU
rnacentral:lncRNA from 10 species